CUCGCGGCCUGCGCACCCUGGAGACCGCAGCGCGUCCGCGCCGGGCUCGGGGCGACGCCGCCCGCCUCUCGCGGCUUUUGGGGGGCGCGGCGCCGGUGCCGACCGCUCGCAGAGCCUGGCGCCGCGCGCAGGCGCGCCGUCCGCGCCGCCGGAAGUGACGGUUCCGGCCCGUGUCACGUGGAGGAGGACCGGGGUAUUCCUGGAGGAUCACCAGUUGUAACAGAUGUUAUGGACAGGGAAAUUGGGGCACAUGGAAAAUAUUGCAGAUGCAGCUUCAGAAUAGCUUCAAAUCAGCAUUCUUGAUAAACACUGCAACCGGAGCUGAACUCCUGCCAUUAAAAUUCUGAGACAUCAUCGCCAUGCACAGUCCAAGCUUACCUCAAACUCACAAUCCUUCUACAUUUCCUGCCACAUCUACAGCUCCUGCCACAUUUCCUUCAUUUGCCAUGGGAACAUUUUCACAGUUUUUUUUUUUUUGAGUUCUCAGUGAAUUUAGAAAUAUAUUUUCAUGUAAAACAUAUGUGAAAAUAUAUUAGGUAACCAGGACACUGAAGAUAAUUGCUUUUGAUGAUUGAAGCCCCAGGUCAGAAUCUCUAAUUAUCAAGAUGUAGAACUCUCAGCUCUCUCUCCAGCACCAUGUCUGCCUUCAGCUGCCAUGCUUAUCACCAUGAUGAUAGUGCACUAAGCCUCUGAACUUGGAAAGAAUCAGUGUUGAAAAACUUUUACUCAAGCUUGGACCCCUUGGCUCUGAGACUCUAAUUUUAUGAAAUCUAAAUCCACAUCGGAUAUUUUUAGUAGGUAUUUCACAACCAAAUUGAGACGUGCUAUGCGUAUAAAGGAUGCAGCGAAAAUGUCUUAAAAGAGUUCAGGAUGGGACGAGCUGGUGAUGCGGCUCAUCAAUGAAGAGAAUUCACAGUCUUGCGGAGGACCUGCGUUCAGUUUCCAGUGCCCACGCUGGGUGGCACACAACUGCCUAUGAAUUCCAGCCCCAGGGGGAUCUGGUGCCCUCUCCUGGCCUCUGCGAGCACCUGCACACACAUGCCGUAUGCUCACACAAGCACACACACAUACAGGUAUAUAAAAAUAAUGAAAAUGAUUUAUUUUAUUGAAAGAAAGCCAGGUAAGAAUGUGUAAUACAUGCAUUGCACGUCCUUGUGUACAUGGCUGUGGUCAGGAAAGAGGAUGAAUGUGUUAGAGGAGAAUGAGAGUAAGUUGUUGGGCCGAGUCUAACCAGAUGCAGCUAAGCUCUGUCACUUAAAUAGAAACUGUUAGCCAACUGUUUUACCAAACUGUUGGUUUCCCCUUAUGUAAAUUGGAGAUACGGAUACUGUGGGAUGCCCUGCCAAGAUUGAUUGGGUCCUGUUUACCCUUUUUGCUCUCCUAUGUUAUCGGCUUUGCUGUCCCCUACCUGUUGCUCCCUGUGGGUCAGCCUUGAUGCAGCUGCUGCUGCAUGAGGGCAGAGAGAGUGAUUACAGUGCACAGGAUGAGAGCCCAGGAAAAUGGUAGAAAGCUUUAAUGUAUAAUUCACACCCAGGACACCCCUGGGACAUCCAGCUCGAGCAGAAACUUCAUCUGGAAACCAGCUCCCCUGCAUCUGCUUUUCCACUUCUUCCCUUUGAGUCUAAGACUCAGCGUCUGACGACUGGUGGGAAAUAACUGCCUCCGCCAAGUUUUCAGAGAUUCAGUGAAAAGUGCCUGCGACUGGCAUCUCCUCACCUGCUCUUACCUACGUGCCGUCCAAUGGGGUUGCACUGCACCACCAGGGAGACGAGAGUUGCCAAUUAUUUUCUAUUCUUGGACAGUGCAUUUAUGCUAAGACAUAAAUAUGCCAAAUCCACCCCCGCCCCCCGCAUCUCUUCUUUCUCUCGCACCUUUUCAUCACCUUAGAAGUAAGAAUGCAGGAAGAGCUUGUUGGUGAGUUUGUAGGACAUUAGGCGACAGUGAAGGUGCUGAUGAGCAGCUGCUGGUGCCUGUUUCUGGGAACUCUUUCUGAGCAUGGUGUUUGGCAGACGACAGGGAUCAUUAAAUGCAUUGAUGGUACCACUUCGAAGGAGUGUUAAUGGCUUCACAGCUAAACAGGACUUUCAGUUAAAGCUUAGUUCGUUGACUCAAAUAGGGAACCCAAGUGCACACACACGUCUUCUCACUGUAUAAGGAAUAUAAAUGCAAAUGCACUGUAUAAAGAAUAUAUUUUUUAUACGUUCAGUUAAUUCUUUGGUUUUUGUGUGUGUGUGUUUUGUAAAUUUUGUUUGUUUGUUUUUAAAAUGCAAUUUGGCUAUAUAAUUCAGACUAACCUCAAACUCUGAUCCUCCUGCCUUAGCCUUUGGAGAGUUGUAUCUUUAUAGGUAUCUGCUUCCAUUCCAGGAAUUCACUCAUUUUCCUUCAUUUAAAUCAUAUUUAUUUUUAACCGCUGCAUAAAAACGAACAUUUUACAUAUCAAUGGCAUAAAAUGUGACAUUUUCAUAUGGUUGUACAUUGUGUAAUAUAAAUCAGGUUAAAUACUUUUCUUCAGCGUUAAUCAUUUCUUGUGGAACUUUCAUUGCUUUCCUGAAACACUAUCAGGUUAAUUAACACAGGCUGGUCUUGAACUCACAAGUCUCCUGGCUCAGCUUCCUCUUGCUGGGGUGACAGCAUUGUGCCACCACAUAGAACAUUGAGAUUUUUGAAAUGUACUGCUUUGGACAAAUUUUGAUUAAUACUAAUUAUUACUAUUUCUGAAAUUGUUAUA